ACAAACUUGUAUCUAUAUUUUGGAUGAAACAAGUGUAAACAAUGGAUAAAUGUGAUGUAAUAGAUAGAAUUCUCUCUUUUUGCACUUGUAUGUAUACUGGUGUUACUUGCUCUUAUUGUUAAGCACUUGUGGGGCUUCUAUUGUCAUUGUAUGGAUCAUAUAUGCAUUGAAUUGUUCCUGGGCGAAUUCUUGUAUAUGAUCCCGUGCUUGAGCCUUGGGCGGACAGGGGAGGUGCUGCCCGUUCGGCGUCUGUUCGACGUGUCCGAACCGGACCAAAUGGGUAGCGGUCUCGGGGCGUGACAGGUCGGCUGAAGAUAAACCCAACAGCCCAAUUACCAAAAGACCCCUCAUCAACUCACAAAAAAAUAUUCUGCCACAUUGAAUAUCGGUACUCAAAUUGGAGUACCAAUACCCAGCACUCAGGCACACAAAACUCGAGCACCCAAUACCCAGCACUCAGGCACACAAAACACGAGCACUAGACCUUCGGUUAUAAUGUAGUGUGCCGGUACUCACCGACUCAGUAUCAAUACUCAACACCCAAGUUCUCAAAUCCGAGAGCAGCCUAUUCUGGCACUCCCUGGGAAUCCGGUAUCCCACUGAGGUACCGAUACUCAACACUCAAAAUCUGCAGUUUGCAGAUUUUAGUGUCAGUAAUCCAUUCUCGCACUCAUAGAGCUUAAAUUACGUGUCGGUACACUACCGGCAACCCUUAAAAUAGCUCGAAUAGUUCUAAAUACUAUUCUCAUACUAGAAUCUUAUAAUUUGCUAAAGUUUAGUAUACUACAUGAAAUAUUUUUAAUUUAAAAUUAUAACUCUUAUUCUCUUUGUUCCAAUCUAACCAAACACUAUUUAUCUUAUUCCUAUGAACAAUCUAAUUUUUAUCCAAACGCAAAAUUAGUCUAGUUCUUACUUAUACCUGAACUCGUAUCUAUUCCUGAAAUAAGUAGUUCUUACUUAAUACCCGCCUAAAAGUUUACGUGCAAAUAGUUACACAUCGUAUAAUUAAUAAGAUAUUAAAAAAUUGAUAUGUGCUAAUGGACUCAGAACUAAUGAAUUUAAACUUUU
rnacentral:lncRNA from 1 species